CUACGGGUUGCACCAGUGGGGAAUAUUGCACAAUGGAGGAAACUCUGGUGCAGCAACGCCGCGUGGAGGAUGACACUUUUCGGAGCGUAAACUCCUUUUAUAUAGGAAGAAGAUGACGGUACUAUAUGAAUAAGCGCCGGCUAACUCCGUGCCAGCAGCCGCGGUAAUACGGAGGGCGCAAGCGUUACUCGGAAUCACUGGGCGUAAAGAGAGUGUAGGCGGAUUAAAAAGUCAGAAGUGAAAUCCUAUAGCUUAACUAUAGAACUGCUUCUGAAACUCUUAAUCUAGAAUAUGGGAGAGGUAGAUGGAAUUUCUGGUGUAGGGGUAAAAUCCGUAGAGAUCAGAAGGAAUACCGAUUGCGAAGGCGAUCUACUAGAACAUUAUUGACGCUGAGACGCGAAAGCGUGGGGAGCAAACAGGAUUAGAUACCCCCGUAGUC
rnacentral:rRNA from 1 species